rnacentral:rRNA from 1 species
AACGACGAAUCAGCUCAUAGCGUAUAUUAAGUUGUUGCAGUUAAAAAGCUCGUAGUUGAAUUUCGAAGUCUGUCAGGUCGGUCGGGCUUAACUGUUCGCACUGACUUGACGGAUUUCUACCUUCUGAAUAACCAGCAUGCUAUUAAGUUAGUGCGUUGGGGAAGCAGAGCUAUUACCUUGAAAAAAUUAGAGUGCUUAAAGCAGGCUUAUGCUUGAAUAGAUUAGCAUGGAAUAAUAAAAUAGGACGGCAUGGUUCUAUUUUGUUGGUUUCUAGGAUCACCGUAAUGAUUAAUAGGGAUAGUUGGGGGCAUUAGUAUUCAAUUGUCAGAGGUGAAAUUCUUGGAUUUAUUGAAGACUAACUUCUGCGAAAGCAUUUGCCAAGGAUGUUCUCAUUAAUCAAGAACGAAAGUUAGGGGAUCGAAGACGAUCAGAUACCGUCGUAGUCUUAACCAUAAACUAUGCCGACUAGGGAUCGGACGAUGUUAAUUUUUUAAUGACUCGUUCGGCGCCUUAACGGGAAAACAAA